UUUUAUACUAAGACAAUUUAGUGUUAAAACAAAAAUCUAUUUGUAUUUGAUCAUUUAUUAAAGUCCUGCAAAGUUUUGAAAGAUGUUUCAGUAGAAGAAAUAUGUGAUAAGCUUAUAUUUUACUAUAGGUAUGUGUUUGUGUGUGUUUGUUAGUGUAUUUUGGUUAUGAAUGUUACAUGUAAUUUACUAGUCAAACUUUUAUUCAGCUGGUUUGGAAUAAAGUUUUGAAUAUUUAAA
rnacentral:lncRNA from 1 species